CCCUUUGUGGUGUAGUUGGUAUCACACCCGGCUGUAAUGGAAAUCUCCUUGCGGAGCACCGGUUGGUCACCAGUUCGACUCUGGUCGGAGGGA